ACGUGGUGUGUCGCGGCGCGCCGAGUUGGUCCGGGGACGCGCGGCCUUCCGGCGGCCUGAGGGGGUGGCACGCGCGGAGAUGCCCCGCGGAGAUCAGUCUCGUGGCUUGAAGAGAAAAAGAAAUUGGGAUGUAGAAUACCCAUCCUUUCCAGGAGAGAGUCCACUGCAGUGCAGACGAGCAGGUCUCAGGACCGUGGGGGCAGAAGCUUCCCUCUCUGAAGCAUGGCUCAGGUGUGGAGAAGGAUUUCAGGAGACUCCUGAGACUCUGUCAUUAACAGCUGAAAAGAAGACUACUACAGAAAAACACCUUGAAUUAUCCUCUGGACCCAAGACAGAACCUACCACAUCUAAGAGUACCAGUGGGCUUACAGCUAUAACAUGGAGUUCCAGUGGAAGUGAUCUGUCAGAUGAAGAUAAAACAAUUUUGAAAUCACAGAGAGAGAAUGGACAUGGUUCUAGAAUAGGCAGGUUUUAUAGCAGGAAUAUUUUCUCUCCAGAAGAUGGGGCCAGUGAAGAUGAUCUCCAGGUUAUUGACUGGGAGAUUGACAGUGACAGGGAAGAUACAUGUGAUGAAUUUGAAGACCGUGAGAGUGUGGUGGAAAUAUCUGACCGUGCUUCUUGUACAAGCAGUCGUUCUUUGACACCUCCAGAGAUGCUGCUUGAACUUCCUAAGACAAAUCCUACAGAAAUUUUAGAGUAUUCAUCAGAUAGUGAAAAAGAUGAUGAGUCGGAGAAUGUCUUGUUCAUUGAUUCAGAAUCCUCUCACAAAUACCACAUGGAUUUCGGAUCAGAUGGAAGACAGGUUAUGGAGAGACCGAUAAACCCUAGGGUAAAAUCUACAGAGGCCAUUUUGCAUACACCUCAGAAAGAGACAAAGCUUCCCAAGACUCCAGAAAAUUCAGCAAAGAAGAAGAAGCUUUUAAGAGGCGGGCUAGCAGAAAGACUAAAUGGACUGCAGAAUCGAGAGAGAUCUGCCGUUUCUUUGUGGAGACAUCAGUAUCUUUCUUACCAAAGGACACUUUCAGGUAUAAAAUCUGGUAUAUUAACUGUGAGAAUUCUAGAGCUUCAUGAGGAAUGCACGAUCCAAGUUGCAAUGUGUGAGCAGUUAUCGGGGCUGCAGGCUGACAGCUCUUCUCAGGGUGGGGCCCCUGGGACUGGCCUGAGGGUUCUCUUCGCCAAGGAGACUGCACGCUGCCUCCGGGGACUUCCACAAGACAUCAUCCGCAUCUACCCUCCCUGGCAAAAGCUUAUUAUCCCAAAUGGAAGUUGCCCUGUUAUUCUGAAUACUUAUUUUUGUCAGAAAGUUGUUGCCAAAGAAGAUUCAAAAACAACACAUGAAGUGCACAGUUGGGACACACCCCUUCCAAGAAGAAGCAUCAUUUUGGCCCAGAUGUUUAGAUUUAAGAGCCUAACAAAUAACUCACCUGAAAACCAGGUUAUGUGUGGUGGUCACACCACCGUGGGCACAGACUGGACCCUCAGACACGAACAAGCAGAGCUGGGCUUCCCCGCCCGAGCUCCCCUGAGGGAUUCUCUGCUGGAUGCAGUCGAAAGCCAAGGAGUUGCCACCUGGUCGGGAGCCGGGGUCCGGGUGGUGGUGCAGAGAGUUUACUCUCUUCGCUGCAGGUGUCAGCAGGCAGAUGGCACAGACCCUCCUGGAGUUCGAGUCUGCCUUCUCGUGCAAGAUGCCCUUGGACUCUUCAGUGAGGUGCACUCGGAGGGCGCCGUCCUGAAGGACAGGGAGUUGGAGGGCAAGUCCUGCAGGCUGGCGGGAAUGAAGGUUCUGCAAAAGGUCACCAGAGGAAGGAUGACAGAGCUUUUCAGUUUGAUUGACACCAUGUGGCCUCCAGUGGCGCCUCUGAAAGCACCAGGCCACGGGCCAGCCUUCGAGGAAAAAACUCAUCUGCCUCCUCCUAGCUUCUGUUACGUCCUCACUGCUCAUCCAAACCUGGGACAAAUUGACGCAAUUGAAGAAGGCUCUAUUUCGAAGCUUUACCAGCCUCCGAUUCCCCGCUGCUUAAGAGAAAUUCUCCAGACUGAUGGCCCCUGUACCCGUUGCAGUUUCUAUGCCAGAGUGAUUUACCAAAGACCACAGGUAAACAGUUCGCUUCUGGAGCCAAGGGAGCUGUGGCUGGUGGUGACCGACGUUACUCUGCAAACACAGGACGAGGGCUCGGGUCUCCCCAAAACCAUGCCUGUGCGCGUGGCCCCCUCAUGCGUGCUGGGCCAGGAAGUCCGGGACGCGCUCUCUGAGGCCACCUCCAAGAGCUUCUUCUUCAGGGAUGCUCUCCGAGACCAGGGUCAGCUUGUUUGUGUUGCACGAACUGUCCUCCUGCUUCCAAAGCCCCAGCUGGGUGUGGCCUCUGGUGCCUGGGAGCUGACGAGCCCUGUGAGCCUCGAUGAGCUGGAUUCUGUCACUCGGGUCAACUCCAUUUGCAGCGUCCAAGGCGCUGUGGUCGCCGUGGACGAGAGCACCGCCUGCUCGUGGCCUGCGUGUGACCUGUGUGGCGGUGAGAGACUGGAACGGAGGCCGGAAGACAGGGGCGCCUUCUCCUGUGGGGACUGCUCCCGCGUGGUCACCUCUCCCCUCCUCAGAAGGCACCUGCAGGUCUUCCUGGACUGCCCCUUGCGACCCCAGUGCACAGUGAGGGUCAAGCUGCUGCAGCACAGCAUCUCUUCGCUCCUGAGGUUUGCCGCCUGCGAGGACGGGAGUUACGAGGUGAGGAGUGUCCUUGGAAAGGAGGUGGGGCCGAUAACCUGUUUCGUCCGGUCCAUCGCCACCCGCCCGGCCAGCUGCGUGGGAUUGGAGGAGGUGGAACUCCUGAGCGAGGGGGGAGCCUCUUCAGCACAUGGGUGGCAGCCGCAGGAUCCGUGAACUUUACAAAGUGGCUGCCAGUGGUGGUGGUUCGGUAGUUAUUUGUUAACUCUAGGCAGAGUGAAUGUCCUUUAUGAUCUUGAAGUGGAACUUCGAUUGGGGCAAAUGUUAGUAAAAUGGCUUUGUAAACUGUAAAUCAAAGUACUUCUUUCUGCGAUGAUAUAUAUUUUUAUUGCCUUUCUGCAAAUUUAGAAACACGACAGAGCUUAAAUAAGCUUGAGGUUUUCAUUUUGUAUUUACCUUAGACAAUAAUGUAGUAGAAAAAGUUAUUUUGUUCUACUGUAAUUCUAAAGUGUUCAAAUUUUACAAUGAUUCAACGUGUUUUUCUUAUAUUUCUUUUAACAUUUCCCCAAAGAAUGACCCUGCCGAGUGUAAACCUUUGUCCUCUAUCGUCAUAUUACUGCUCUGCACAGUGUCCAGCCUAAGCGUUCUGCAGCUCAGUAUUUUUUGGAAAAUGUUCUGGGGAACUAUGUCAGAGGUAAAACUGUUUCCCAUAAAGUAGAGAUAAAGUGACUGGCCUGAUGGUAGCUCCUUACGGAGAGACUGACAGGUCUGGUUAGUCCUGCCGGGCACUGCGCAGGACUACGCUGCCGCAGGAGAGCUGGGGAAUCGUUCACCUUGUUGGCAGAGAUCUGAGUUAAAACUAAAACCACGGAUUAAUCUGGACACUACAAAGAUUUCGCGUUUCCUCCCUUAUGACAGUGUAAUAAUGACAGGCCACGGUUAACUAAUUACAUAAUAUAGACGUAGCAGCCCAGACCAAGGGAGGCUGCCUAGUACCCACUCUCAUGGGGGAAAGGCAACGGCUUUAUUUAUUCGUCCAGAUUCAGCCUUGAAGCAUUACCAGUACCGGGAAGGUAGCCGAUUUUAAGUAGCUUUGUGACCGUCCUUUCCAUCUCCUAUAUGACUUCUGUACUUUAUGCACUUUGAAAAUCUACUUGAAGCUGUCUACAGGACUGAGGGAAGCGAAAGCAAAUCCCAUGAAAGCCAGAAUGAGUGGGACUGGUUUUCGGAUAACCUGAGCCCUCCUCUCCUUGCCCCCGACUCGAGGUGGGACCCGCUCCGGCCGGUUUCCGACACGUUCCCGGGGCGCCUUCCACCCGAGCGGGUCUCGCUCGGCAAGUUAACCGGCACGUCCGCAGGUGGAGUUUGGCCUGUUGGAGAAGCAAAGCGACGGUCCUUCCAGGAACCCGGCCCCGGGGCGCACACCAGCCAGACGCGCCCUCGCGUCCUCCCCGGCCAGUCCGGAGGGCCGCGAGGGCAGGAAUCAAGUUUGACAGGCUAGUGGACGCCGCUUCCCGUUCGGGUGGAGCAGACAAAGGCAAACAGGGACGGCAGCGCCCCGGGCGAACACCCGUGCUGUUUCCAGCGGAGUCAAGCUGCAUGUCAGGAGGCUCUGUUUUCGGUGGUUUUUUUGAAACUCAUGGUAUGUGAUGCGCAGCUGUUAAUAAUAACAAAGGAAACUGUUUCUCCAAAUCCCUUUCUCCCCACUGGAAUAAGGACCUAAGUGACCAGAGUGAAACACUCGGUCUGGCAAAUUCCACGGUGAAGACAGGGCGGGUCCUCAGUGCCACUCUAGCGUCCCUCCUGCCGGCACGUCGUGUACCAUCAUCUCGCUGCUUUAGGUGCGACCAGCGCACACCCCACAAAGCCGUGUGCAGGCACCCCGCGUUUUACUGCACUUCUCAGAUGCUGCAGUUCCUACCAUGCGCGGGUAGGUUCAGAGGACAUUACCAGCUACCGUUAUUAGUAGGUGGACGUCUGAGCACUUGUCUUAACCAGGAAUAUGACUAGACGUUUAAUAAGCGUACUACUCAGAGUAAUUAUAGAUUUUCCUAAUGAUGAAAAAUAUGUGGAAUUUAAAAUUCUUUUUAAAGAAAGAAAACUGUCAAGAUCCCGAUUUCACCAUCUCAGAAUCAAAAGUGCCGGCUGCAGCACGACUCUCCUCCAAGCACCCUCCUGCCCACCCCCGCCGCGCGGUGAACUCACCAGGAACCUCUAGCUCGGCCCUCAGGAACUCCGCCCUGAAGCUGCUCAUCCAGGGCGAGCACUCCUUCAGGUUCCCUGGCGCCUUCGAGGCCCUGCUCAUCCUCCCAAGCAGCGAGCUGGUGAUGCUGCGGAAGUCCUGGAGCCUCAUGCCAGGGAGCUUAGAGCCUCCUCUGCCGAAGUGGUCAUCAAAUUCUUUCCCAAAAGCCUGAAAUUAAUGAUAAUUUACCUGAAAUAUUAAUGUUUAGCUGAACUUCUGAAGAAGUUCCAGGCUCACGAAUCUUCAUAAUAAACAGGUGCUCAAGUUGUAUUGGGUUUUUUCCUGCACUUUUAACUGACAGCUUCACUCUCCUUGAAUGUUUCAACACUCUUAAAGCACAGUAGGCUGCCUUUGUUUUUGUCUUUGUGCGCCUUUGAGAAGAUGGAAAGGAUGACAGUCAGCGGUGACUUCUGAGCAUAAAUUCUUAAUAAGGGCUUUAAACACAUGGGGAAAUCCUUUCACCUCUGUGUCCGUUGUACAGCUGCUGAUCUGCACCAUCAUGACAAUGGGAGUAAGUAGGAACAAAGUACAAAAUAAAGGACAUAAUUCAAUGGAAAUGAACAGCCCAGGGACUGCCCUGCUGGCGCGGUGGUUAAGAAUCCGCCUGCCGAUGCAGGGGACACGGGUUCGAGCCCUGGUCCGGGAAGAUCCCACAUGCCGCGGAGCAACUAAGCCCGUGCACCACCACUACUGAGCCUGCACUCUAGAGCCCGUGCUCCACAACAAGAGAAGCCACCGCAAUGAGAAGCCCGCGCACCGCAACAAAGAGCAGCGCCCGCUCACGACAACUCGAGAAAGCCCGCGCGCAACAACAAAGACCCAACGCAGCCAAAAACAAAUAAACAAAUUUUUAAAAAAUGAACAGCCCGAAGUUCUUCCUCACAGCAAAGAGAAAAACAUAAGAAAAAAACACUUUCCCUUAGUGAGGGUCUUUCAAGCCAUUAUUUUGGAUCAAGAACCAGUAUAAAUAGCAUUUGGGACCUACUGAAAACCCUCACCUGUCCAAGCACACAGAGAACUGACUGCGGGCUCGGCGACCAGCACCGUCUACAGACCUGCUGUGCACCCCUUCUGAGCUAUUACGUCAUCAACUCAAAGCCUGGCCCUGUCUUCCAGUUAAACAUCCACGAAGUCGCUAAGGAGCCUUUCUGAUAACCCUCCCCUUUUUCCCCAAUGCAGCCCCAGUGGAGAGGCCGGGAUGGGGUGAGAGCGGGCAAGCGGGACGUGGGGCAGGAGCCCUGGGGGUUCCCGAGAUGUGGAGCGUCGGGGGAUGGCACCUGAAACGUCCCCCUUUUCUUGCUGCUGAACAGUGACCUGAGCAUAAGGCCCCUGGACGUACAGACGCAGCUCAGCCCUGAGGGGCAGCCAGCUCCGGGUGGAGGGCUCACCUCCUCCCGUCUCGGUCCUCGUUCAGACGCGGCCUUCGCGUCAACACCCACAGAGCAAAGUGGGUGCAUGGGAACACUCCUUUACACAGUUUUCAAUGACACAUGUUGUUGGGAUGGAGCAAAACUCAGUGGUUAUGAAAAGCCAUUAACACACGCACCCCACACAACACAUCUGUUAGUUCGGUCAAGUCCCCUCCGCCAGAAGGAAGACACCGACCUCUCUGGUCAUGAGGCUCAGGGUCUCCUCUGGAUACAGCUCAACGAUCUGGAGGAGUCUGGGGAACUUCAGCCUGGCCUCGCUGGAGUGUAACUUCAGAGCUUUCAGCAUCUUGUCCACCACGACGGCCGGAUACGUGCGCAGUUCUGCAGCGUCCAGGACUACCGGGGACAGGAGAGGAGAGACGUGGUCACUACCCACACACAGACACGAGUGGCAUGCUCAGCGCUGGCUGCUCUCCCCCGGGCUUCCUUUCUAACAACUACUGCAGCUCAGCAGACGGUCUCGGACUGCAUGUAAGAGCUCCUCUCUGGGGCUUCCCUGGUGGCGCAGUGGUUGAGAGCCUGCCUGCCGAUGCAGGAGACACAGGUUCGUGCGGUCCAGGAAGAUCCCACAUGCCGCGGAGCGGCUGGGCCCGUGAGCCUGCGCUCCGCAACGGAAGAGGCCGCAACAGUGAGAGGCCCGUGUACCGCAAAAAAAAAAAAAAAAAGAGCUCCUCUCUGACGCUGACCUCUGCUACCGGGUGAAGUAGUUUGCUUCCUGGGCUGGAACACGAGGGGUGGCCACAGGAGCUGGUCAGACACGCACCAGGGAAGCAGAGGGAGGGAGGGACGGAGACGCCCAACUCCGGUCCCACACCGGCCGUGGGGCAUGGCCAUGUCACAGCCUCUUAAACAGACAAGCCGUCUCUUAGAACACAUGCCAUUGAAAAACACACAGGAGAGCACAGGACCCGCAAGACCCUACAUCUCCGGCGGGCAUGCGCGGGGCUCACCGGGGGGGCCCUCCUCCUGCUUGCGGAGCCGCUGGUCACAGAACUCCACCAGCGCCAGGUAAGCCGCCACCAGCCCGCAUGCAGGCUCCUGGCCCCGCGCCGAGCACCCGGCCUCCUCCUGUGCUGCCGUCCGCACGGCCUCAGAAAGGUGGUGGAACGCUCUCUGGUACAGGCCUGCCGCAACCUGGAACGCAGAGACCCCGGCAGGCUGUGAGCGAGACCAAGCUUCCUGAAGACCCUGCCCCCCUGGGACCCGUCAGCCACCGGUAAACAGAAAGCCGCUCGAGGGCAGAGCCAGGUCUGCCUGGACUGGGAAAGAGACGCCGGCCCUACGCCAUCUCGGCGCCUGAACACCAACACGCAGGGCGUGGCUCAGGAAGGGCUGGAGGCUGGGGACACAAGUGGCGCGGGGAGCACGUGGGAACUCACAAACACACAGAACCACCUGAGCAGUGCCAACAAAGCAGGUGCUACACAAAAAAGCAGAAAAGCUGAUUCUGCCCAUAAGCUGGCGGGGUGUCUGAAUGGCGGCCGGUGGUGAGAUUCCACUAACAAGAUUCACGGGAGAACCGUCCACAUCAAGCCAACACAGACUUCUCACUAUUAACACUAAAAGAAGGGUGUCGUUCAAAUCAACAGGAAACACGGGGAGUAGGUCAUUUUUCCAAUAAGAAACCUGACUGCGUGUAACUGUCAAAUGUGUCUUGAAAACACAAAGCGAGACUUGUCAUUUCUUUCAUGUAGCGGAGCCUGCGCGGUCGAGACAAACACACGACACGAAGCGCUCAGGCUCCCAGCGUCACUACCUUCUCUGCAUCCUCUGAACUGGAUCCCGAGAGCUCCACGACGCUCCUGGCCUUGCUCUCCUCGAUCCCAGCGAGGCAGGUGGGCUCACUACUAAGAGCGUCGGCCAUGAUCUUGUACGCUGUGCCCACGAGAAUGUUAUGGUCACGGGACGCCACAACGUUUCUGCUCAAGUAGCUUGAUGUGUUCUCACCUGCUGGAUUACACACACGCACACAGGAUUUUUUGAGAACUGAGUGAGUGACGUAAGUUACAAAGAAGAUAGUCAUAGUGUUCAAAGGUUGUUUUCUAUUAAGAAACUAAAAGAAAUCUUAAAGGUAUAAGAAACUGACUUCAAACGUUGACUCGAGAAUCUCUUGAACUCACAUUAACGAACAAUGUUCUUUGUCACCAGCGACCACGGCCCACCGAGGCUCAACAAUUAAAACACCAAAUAAACUUUCAUUCAAGCAUCACCCUUCUGCAUUUUGUCCAAGCACUUCUUUGUGUUAACAGAGAACAGAAAGUGUGCUUUCUAAUGCAUUCGUGCAUGUACAUCAAUAACGCUGAUUUUUAAACUGAUGCUGUGACCUACAGCUGACAAAGCAACAGAGACCACCGCAGUCCAAGGUCUAGUACUAUGUCCGGCCGUGUGGCUCUGGGCAAGCCUACAGCGUGCAGAGGUCGAGAAGAGAAAGGGCCGUCACCCGGCAAGUCCUGCACGCACACCACCUGCUCCUCCAGGAGACGCUUACUUCACAGGGCCGUGACCGACGGCAGCCAGUCAUUAUCACGAGAACCGAGUGCCGUCUUCACGGCAUCAAACUCCUCCUGCCCCCCCAGAAAAGCCUAUAAAAAGAGCUGAGCAGUCACGGCGUCAUUUUCCGAUCCUGGGAUCAACGUGGAAAGUGCUUCCCCAUCCUGCCCACGAGUCGGGCUCGGGACCAGCGGGAGGCCGCAGGAAAGCCCUGCCGUGCACCUGGGACGUGCACACGAGAGCCGGGACCCACACACGGGGUUCCCGCUCAGCCUCACAGGCCACGUCAUCACAGACAGAAGAACUGAGGAGGAAAAAGGCUCUCAUGGCUAAUUGUUUUAGGCAGUUCUUGUAUGCAAACAUAAAGUUUUCAAAAUAAUUAAACUGUUACACCCAAAAUUUGGCUAAGUCUUAAAGAGAACAUUUUAGAACUUCAACUUUAGUUUACAGAUGAAGAAACAAAAGCUCCAGGAGUCCCAUGCGGUAGCAUUACUGGACACACGGCACCUUGGCGCCGCAUGUUCAAUAAAUACUUAAUAAAAGUUUUACAAAUUUAAUUCCCAACUGUCAGAUAAAGCAGCACAAAGGAUACUGCGAGAAGACACACAGCCACAACACAAACUGUGGGAGGAGAAGAGCCUCGUACCCAGCAGGGGCACCGUCUUCAGCGCCGCGCAGAGCUGCUCGGGCGGGCGCUGGGCCCGGGCCCGGCCGUGGCUGAGCCGGCAGUAGCUCUGCACCCACUUCACGAGCCAGUCCUCCCGUGUUUUUGACUCUCUGUGCAGCUCCUUCAGCAGUUUCAAGGCAAGCGAGAAAUUAUUCUACACGGCGGAAGAGAGAAAGCAGAAAGAUGACACAGGAGGAUGAUGAGAAGUCAGGUCGCUCUACGAGAGGAGCUUCUCGCUGGCCCGCAGUGACCCAUCACCUUAGCUUUAUCGUGGGGACAGAUACACAGUCCAGAGUCUCCGGGACACUCACGCAGCGGGGCACCCCACGGCUGCCGUCUGAUUCCGGGACUCUGUCGUCCGCCAAGAAACCCUCCAUCCACAGGCAUCUGCUCCCCUCCCCCAGCCCCCAGAGACUACAGCCUUCUGCCCCGGGUCUGCCCAUUCUGGACACUUCCUACCCAGGGAGUCAGCUGUGCUCUGACUUUGUGCCUGGUGGUGUGUAUCAGAACUUCACCCCUUGCUGUGGCUGCGUAACAUGCUACUGCGUGCAUAAACCACAGUUUAUUUAUCUGUUUAUCUACUGAUAAACCUUCGCAUUGUUGCCACCUUCUGGCUAUUCUGAAUAAUGCUCUUUUUUCUAAUUUCAAUGAACAUAAAGGAU